rnacentral:rRNA from 1 species
GGCCAGACUCCUACGGGAGGCAGCAGUAGGGAAUCUUUCACAAUGGGCGAAAGCCUGAUGGAGCAACGCCGCGUGCAGGAUGAAGGCCUUCGGGUUGUAAACUGCUUUUAUAAGCGAGAAAUAUGAUGGUAACUUAUGAAUAAGGAUCGGCUAACUACGUGCCAGCAGCCGCGGUAAUACGUAGGUGGCGAGCGUUAUCCGGAAUGAUUGGGCGUAAAGGGUGCGCAGGCGGUCCUGCAAGUCUGGAGUGAAACGCAUGAGCUCAACUCAUGCAUGGCUUUGGAAACUGGAGGACUGGAGAGCAGGAGAGGGCGGUGGAACUCCAUGUGUAGCGGUAAAAUGCGUAGAUAUAUGGAAGAACACCAGUGGCGAAGGCGGCCGCCUGGCCUGUUGCUGACGCUGAGGCACGAAAGCGUGGGGAGCAAAUAGGAUUAGAUACCCUAGUA